GCACUGCUGAGGAGUCCCACAACAGGACGAAACGGCCGUCCAGUAA
rnacentral:hammerhead_ribozyme from 1 species